GCUGGGUGCAGUGGAGCCCGCCCGAAGUCCCAGCCACUCGGGAGGCUGAGGGAGGAGGAUUGCUUGAGCCCAGGAGUUCUGUAGUGCGCUAUGCCGACUCGAUAUCCGCACUAAGUUUGGCAUCAGUAUGGUGACCACCCAGGAGCAGGGGACCACCAGGUUGCCCAAGGAGGGGUGAACCGGCCCAGGUCAGAAACAGAGCAGAUCAAAACUCCCAUGUUGAUCAGAUGUGUCUCCUCAGACAAGGGAAACAAAAGCAAAAAUAAACUGUUGGGACCAUACAAAAAUAAAAAGCUUUU
ensembl:misc_RNA Metazoa_SRP Metazoan signal recognition particle RNA